UGUAAGCGUAUACCAAAGUUGUUGCAGUUAAAACGCUCGUAGUCGGAAUUUGGCAGUUCCGGAUGUGUGCACGUCGUGUGCGCACUUCGCGGGGAUUGCUUUUGUGGUCUUGCGUAGGAUGAGGCACUUUUAUUAGUGAACGUCCUCACGCAACCACUUUUUACUGUGAGAAAAUCAGAGUGCUCGAAGCAGGCAUUUGCCGUGAAUGUAUUAGCAUGGAAUAAUAGAAUAGGACUUGGUUCUAUUUUGUUGGUUUGUUGGGACUGAGUAAUGAUUAAGAGGGACAGUUGGGGGCAUUUGUAUUUCGGUGCUAGAGGUGAAAUUCUUAGAUUACCGAAAGACAAACUGCUGCGAAAGCGUCUGCCAAGGAUGUUUUCAUUGA
rnacentral:rRNA from 1 species